rnacentral:rRNA from 1 species
UCGAGAAUCUUCGGCAAUGGGCGCAAGCCUGACCGAGCGACGCCGCGUGCGGGAUGAAGGCCCUCGGGUUGUAAACCGCUGUCAGAGGGAAGGAAAUGCAUGUGGGUUCUCCCUCAUGUUUGACCGAUCCUCAGAGGAAGUCCGGGCUAAGUUCGUGCCAGCAGCCGCGGUAAGACGAACCGGACGAACGUUAUUCGGAAUCACUGGGCUUAAAGAGUGCGUAGGCGGCUUGGCAAGUUGGGUGUGAAAUCCCUCGGCUCAACCGAGGAACUGCGCCCAAAACUGCUAGGCUUGAGGGAGAUAGAGGUGAGCGGAACUGAUGGUGGAGCGGUGAAAUGCGUUGAUAUCAUCAGGAACACCGGUGGCGAAGGCGGCUCACUGGGUCUCUUCUGACGCUGAGGCACGAAAGCUAGGGGAGCGAACGGGAUUAGAUACCCCCGUAGUCC